GACGAACGCUGGCGGCGUGCCUAAUACAUGCAAGUAGAACGCUGAAGAGAGGAGCUUGCUCUUCUUGGAUGAGUUGCGAACGGGUGAGUAACGCGUAGGUAACCUGCCUGGUAGCGGGGGAUAACUAUUGGAAACGAUAGCUAAUACCGCAUAAAAUUGAUUAUUGCAUGAUAAUUAAUUGAAAGAUGCAACUGCAUCACUACCAGAUGGACCUGCGUUGUAUUAGCUAGUUGGUGAGGUAACGGCUCACCAAGGCGACGAUACAUAGCCGACCUGAGAGGGGGAUUGGCCACACUGGGAGCGGAGCCCCGCCCAGACCCCUACGGGAGGCAGCAGUAGGGAAUCUUCGGCAAUGGGGGGAACCCUGACCGAGCAACGCCGCGUGAGUGAAGAAGGGUUUCGGAUCGUAAAGCUCUGUUGUAAGAGAAGAACGGGUGUGGGAGUGGAAAGUUCACACUGUGACGGUAUCUUACCAGAAAGGGACGGCUAACUACGUG
rnacentral:rRNA from 1 species